GCAACCCUUAAGCUUAGUUGCCAUCAUUAAGUUGGGCACUCUAAGUUGACUGCCGGUGACAAACCGGAGGAAGGUGGGGAUGACGUCAAAUCAUCAUGCCCCUUAUGAUUUGGGCUACACACGUGCUACAAUGGACAAUACAAAGGGCAGCGAAACCGCGAGGUCAAGCAAAUCCCAUAAAGUUGUUCUCAGUUCGGAUUGUAGUCUGCAACUCGACUACAUGAAGCUGGAAUCGCUAGUAAUCGUAGAUCAGCAUGCUACGGUGAAUACGUUCCCGGGUCUUGUACACACCGCCCGUCACACCACGAGAGUUUGUAACACCCGAAGCCGGUGGA
rnacentral:rRNA from 1 species